GACGAACGCUGGCGGCGUGCCUAAUACAUGCAAGUCGAACGAGAGCGCCCGGUGCUUGCCCUGGUCAAUCUAGUGGCGAACGGGUGAGUAACACGUGGGUAACCUGCCCAUCAGAGGGGGAUAACAUCCGGAAACGGAUGCUAAAACCGCAUAGGUCUUCGAGCCGCAUGGCUUGAAGAGGAAAAGAGGCGCAAGCUUCUGCUGAUGGAUGGACCCGCGGUGCAUUAGCUAGUUGGUGAGGUAACGGCUCACCAAGGCCGUGAUGCAUAGCCGACCUGAGAGGGUGAUCGGCCACAUUGGGACUGAGACACGGCCCAAACUCCUACGGGAGGCAGCAGUAGGGAAUCUUCCGCAAUGGACGCAAGUCUGACGGAGCAACGCCGCGUGAGUGAAGAAGGUUUUCGGAUCGUAAAACUCUGUUGUUAGAGAAGAACAAGUGCUAGAGUAACUGUUAGCGCCUUGACGGUAGCUAACCAGAAAGCCACGGCUAACUACGUG
rnacentral:rRNA from 1 species